CCGAACCCACUGUCGUUGAAAAGCCAGGGGAUGACUUGUGGAUAGGGGUGAAAGGCUAAUCAAGCCUGGUGAUAGCUGGUUCUCCCCGAAAGCUAUUUAGGUAGCGCCUCGGACGAAUACCAUAGGGGGUAGAGCACUGUUUCGGCUAGGGGGUCAUCCCGACUUACCAAACCGAUGCAAACUCCGAAUACCUAUGAGUACUAUCCGGGAGACAGACUGCGGGUGCUAACGUCCGUAGUCAAGAGGAAAACAAUCCAGACCGCCAGCUAAGGCCCCAAAAUCAUAGUUAAGUGGGAAACGAUGUGGGAAGGCAUAGACAGCUAGGAGGUUGGCUUAGAAGCAGCCACCCUUUAAAGAAAGCGUAAUAGCUCACUAGUCGAGUCGGCCUGCGCGGAAGAUGUAACGGGGCUAAAACUAUGUGCCGAAGCUGCGGAUGUAUACUUUGUAUACGUGGUAGGGGAGCGUUCUGUAAGCCGAUGAAGGUGUGUUGAGAAGCAUGCUGGAGGUAUCAGAAGUGCGAAUGCUGACGUGAGUAACGACAAAACGGGUGAAAAACCCGUUCGCCGAAAGACCAAGGGUUCCAGUCCAACGUUAAUCGGGGCUGGGUGAGUCGACCCCUAAGGCGAGGCCGAAAGGCGUAGUCGAUGGGAAAAUGGUUAAUAUUCCAUUACUUCUGUGUAAUGCGAUGAGAGGACGGAGAAGGCUAAAUCAGCCUGGCGUUGGUUGUCCAGGUGAAAGGAUGUAGGCAUGUAUCUUAGGCAAAUCCGGGGUACUCUAUGCUGAGAUCUGAUAGCAAGCUGUACUUGUACAGCGAAGUGGUUGAUGCCAUGCUUCCAGGAAAAGUCUCUAAGCUUCAGUUACACAGGAAUCGUACCCGAAACCGACACAGGUGGUCAGGUCGAGUAGACCAAGGCGCUUGAGAGAACUCUGCUGAAGGAACUAGGCAAAAUGGUACCGUAACUUCGGGAGAAGGUACGCUGUUGUUGGUGAUGGAACUCGCUUCCUGAGCUGACGACAGCCGCAGAAACCAGGCCGCUGCAACUGUUUAUUAAAAACAUAGCACUCUGCAAACACGAAAGUGGACGUAUAGGGUGUGAUGCCUGCCCGGUGCUGGAAGGUUAAUUGAUGGGGUUAGCGUAAGCGAAGCUCUUGAUCGAAGCCCCAGUAAACGGCGGCCGUAACUAUAACGGUCCUAAGGUAGCGAAAUUCCUUGUCGGGUAAGUUCCGACCUGCACGAAUGGCAUAAUGAUGGCGGCGCUGUCUCCAGCAGAGGCUCAGUGAAAUCGAAAUCGCUGUGAAGAUGCAGUGUACCCGCGGCUAGACGGAAAGACCCCGUGAACCUUUACUGCAGCUUGACACUGAACUUUGACCUUACUUGUGUAGGAUAGGUGGGAGGCUUUGAAGCUGGAACGCUAGUUCCAGUGGAGCCGUCCUUGAAAUACCACCCUGGUAAUGUUGAGGUUCUAACUCUGUCCCGUGAUCCGGGACGAGGACCGUGUCUGGUGGGUAGUUUGACUGGGGCGGUCUCCUCCUAAAGAGUAACGGAGGAGUACGAAGGUGCGCUCAGCGUGGUCGGAAAUCACGCGUAGAGUAUAAAGGCAAAAGCGCGCUUAACUGCGAGACCCACAAGUCGAGCAGGUACGAAAGUAGGUCUUAGUGAUCCGGUGGUUCUGUAUGGAAGGGCCAUCGCUCAACGGAUAA
rnacentral:rRNA from 1 species